rnacentral:pre_miRNA from 1 species
GACUUUUUUUUAAAGUCAAACUUCUUUAGAUUUGAUCAAGUUUAUAGAAAAAUAUAACAAUAUUUUCAACACAAAACAAAGAAACUAUCAAAAUAUAUUCAAUGUUAGAUGUAAUGAAACUAAUUUGGUAUUAUAAGUGUUGCUAUAUUUUUCUAUAAACUUGGUUAAACUUUCAAAAAGUUUGACUUAAAAAAAAUCAAA